CCCUUAGAUGUUCUGGGCUGCACGCGCGCUACACUGAAGCGUUCAACGAGUAUUUCACCUUGCCCGGGAGGGUUGGGUAAUCUUUUUAAAACGCUUCGUGAUGGGGAUAGAUUAUUGCAAUUAUUAAUCUUCAACGAGGAAUUCCUAGUAAGCGCGAGUCAUCAGCUCGUGCUGAUUACGUCCCUGCCCUUUGUACACACCGCCCGUCGCUCCGACCGAUUGAGUGAUCCGGUGAAUAAUUCGGACUGCAGCAGUGCUUGGUCCUCCGGGCUUUGCAGCGGAAAGUUUAGUGAACCUUAUCACUUAGAGGAAGGAGAAGUCGUAACA
rnacentral:rRNA from 1 species